rnacentral:lncRNA from 1 species
GUACACUUUAGUAAUUGGCAUAAUUACGCUGGAGAAAAAACAUGUGGGUUUUGCAUCUUUUCAAGAAAAAUAAGAAUUAUAUUUAUGUUGUCUCAUUGUAAAAUCUAUUAUUGACUCUGAAAAGUGAAUGUUUGCUACACAUGACCAACCACUAAUCUUCUAAAUCAUACUUUGUUUUUGUUCAUCUCAUCUGUUGCCAGAGGGAAACACUUACUUUAAUAAAAUCAUUUCCUACAUGGAAUUUAGAAUUAAGAGCUCAUCCAGCCUCCCAGUAUCAAUUCAAGUUUGCAUGAAACACAGCAAAAAACAUGUUUUCUAUGAAGCAUCAUUUGUUCCAGCGUGGCACGGUUGCGUAUUUUUUUUUUUUCUUAAUCCUCAGAUGGAUCUUGGGAAUAAAGUCCCUGCGAGCCACGGCUCAUUACAGAACAACAAGAAGCAACAAAAGCAAAAUGGGAUCAAGGAUCUUCAAGAGGCCAAGAAGAGGGAAGAGAAGAAACAAGGAAGUAGAGGAGAAAUAGAGGAGUCAUUAGAUCAGAAUUCAAGUCCAGCUGAUGUCACCGCUGCUUAAUGUCUUUUCAAUCCAUUUUUCUUGCAAAAUAGUUGUGUUGUUUUGUUUUUGCUCCACCUUUUUUUUUCUUUACAAGAAAUUUUCCUUUAACUUGGUCAGAGUCAGACAUAUAGUCAGCAUAUUUUUGUAUUUGCUGUCUGCUUUAGUUCAGUAAAUGAAAUAACCUAUUGAGGGCUUUUCAAUGUUAUAGUAAAGAAGUCUCGUGUUAAUUUUCCUUCAAAAAAUCAAGUAUUAUUUCUUCUCUGCUUUAUUUUAUGCAACACAAAAGCUUUUGUUUUACCGUCUAAUCUUGUUUUUUUCUGGUAAAAAAUGAUAAUAAUAAUUUGUUUAAGCGUUGAGUAAUGUCUCAGUCAUUUCUAUAUUUUGAAUGACUUUGUUGCAGUUUUUUUACUGAUGUUAAGCAAUAAAUAAUUUUCUAUUACUGUUUGAAUGUCAGAUAAUCUAAUUAUUUAAUAUUUUCUGUGUCUGAUAUGUAAAAUAUAUUAAAUGUAUUUAAUUUUUUUGUCAGUCUCACUGGAAGUGCUGCCUUAAAAUCGAUUAUUCUUACACACUGUUAUGGUAAAUAUAAUAUAGCUGAUUCUUAUAUGUGAAAUGUGGGGUUCAAUGUCUUGCCCAAAGACACUUCAACACAUGGACGGGUAGGGUGGGACUCAAACUUGAGAUCUUUCGAUCAGACCGCUCUUCCGUUGCACCGCUGUUACAAAAUAGAAACAUGAAUGAAAUAUGAUGUAUUAAAGAAAUAUUUCGAGUGAAAUUAAAACUUACUUACAAAAAAAACUUACUUUACAAAAAAAAAUACAUAAAAAAAUUGAUACAUGUGUUUUACAUUUGUAUUUCAAACUUUAGUUAAUGAGUUCCACAAAUGAGACUUAUUAACAAAGUGACUUGUCUGCUCUGACCAGUGUUACAAUUUAGAAAAUUCCCAAUAAAAUAUAUGUCAAAUUGAGAUUUUAAACUUUUUGUCUGACAGAGAACAUGGAUUUCCUUGGUAAAUAAAUUAUUUAACAGUUACAAAGAAUGAAAGUAGCAACCAUUGCUCACAUUGCAGGAAAACAAUCAAACGAACAGCAAAAUCAUUAAGCAUAAGUAACAUUGGAAUAAUUAUUGAUUGGAUUAUCACUUUUUUUUGUAGCUGGUGCUAAGGUAGCAUAACAUAACAUCUCCUUUGCUCUGGAAACAUCUCGGAAAUUUGCCCUGAAACUUGAGAGUCACAUUCAGCCACAUUCAAGUUAGAGAAAAAAAUAGAUUAAAAAAAAAUAUGAUGUGUGCAUGUUAGGUAUCAGUUGGCCUAAACUGAGCCUUUCUAUGGGCUGUGCUCUAGGCUCAAACUGAUCUUUUUAUCUAAAUUUAGCUCACUGCAGGUUCUAGUGUGAACCAUUGAAAGUUUAUCCAAACACGAUAUGACUCAUGCACACCAACAUGUGUGUGUGUUUUUUUUUUUUUUAAGUGUUGGGACAUUUCGUUAUGGAAGCAUCAGGAAACAAAAAGCCUUGGAUCAUGUUUGCUGCUGCGUUGCAUCACCUCUUCUAUGAUCAGCACUCAAGUAAACCUCUUUGACCCGAGGAAAACGGUAGUCCUUUAUUAUAAAAAAAAAAAACAAGAUGCUUUUCAGUCUGCGUUAAAGGGUAGAUAUCAGCAGCUCAACAUAUACAUUUGGGGGUUAUUUUGCUUUUGUCGUUUCCGUUUUUCCGUGUUUUUAAUACCUUCAGUCGCUGACAUUCCUGUAAAAAUGGUUGACUGCUGGAUAUUAUGAUUAAAAGCCCUCACAACUUGAAAUCUACUGUUGUCUUAUUUAAAAAUGAAUUAUUUUCUGAAGGAAAAUAAUUUGUCUGAAUGGAUGUUAUGUCCUGAUGUGGUAUUCUAAUCGAUGCUUUCUGUCAAUCAGCAGACAACUGGGGACUUUUAAGCAAGGCGGUUGCUUCAUCUUUGUGUAAAAUAAAGGAUAAUGAAGCAUUUUUAUUAUAAACCAUUGUAACAUCUUCCUUUAUUAGCUUUGAAUGCAGUCUUUUCCUCAUGAUUAAUCUCAGAAAUUAUUGUCAGUCCAGACAGAGAUUAAUCAAAACCUAUUUAUUGGUAGUUUUUACUUCGCACUUUUUUAAAAUAUAUCCCAAGUUAUGCAAUAAUAUUUACAUUUCGUGUUCUUAGUUUACUUCUUUAAGUUGAUUAUUUUGUUAAUUUUUAAGUUUAAUUAUGUUUUACUAUGUAUUCCUG